CCUACGGGCGGCUGCAGUGGGGAAUAUUGGACAAUGGGCGAAAGCCUGAUCCAGCCAUGCCGCGUGUGUGAAGAAGGCCUUCGGGUUGUAAAGCACUUUCAGUGGGGAAGAAAGCCUUGGGGCUAAUACCCUCGAGGAAGGACAUCACCCACAGAAGAAGCACCGGCUAACUCCGUGCCAGCAGCCGCGGUAAUACGGAGGGUGCGAGCGUUAAUCGGAAUUACUGGGCGUAAAGCGCGCGUAGGCGGUCUGAUAAGCCGGUUGUGAAAGCCCCGGGCUCAACCUGGGAACGGCAUCCGGAACUGUCAGGCUAGAGUGCAGGAGAGGAAGGUAGAAUUCCCGGUGUAGCGGUGAAAUGCGUAGAGAUCGGGAGGAAUACCAGUGGCGAAGGCGGCCUUCUGGACUGACACUGACGCUGAGGUGCGAAAGCGUGGGUAGCAAACAGGAUUAGAUACCCGUGUAGUC
rnacentral:rRNA from 1 species